rnacentral:rRNA from 1 species
AACGCUGGCGGCGUGCUUAACACAUGCAAGUCGAACGAGAAAGCCUGGCUUGCCAGGCAAGUAAAGUGGCGCACGGGUGAGUAACGCGUGGGUAAUCUACCCUUGUCUGGGGGGAUAACAUACCGAAAGGUGUGCUAAUACCGCAUAACGUGGUCGAAUCGCGAUUUGAUCACCAAAGAAGGCCUCUCCUUGGAAGCUUUCGGAUGAAGAUGAGCCCGCGUCCCAUUAGCUAGUUGGUAAGGUAAAGGCUUACCAAGGCUACGAUGGGUAGCUGGUCUGAGAGGAUGGCCAGCCACACUGGAACUGGAACACGGUCCAGACUCCUACGGGAGGCAGCAGUGAGGAAUCUUGCGCAAUGGGGGCAACCCUGACGCAGCAACGCCGCGUGAGUGAAGAAGGCCUUCGGGUCGUAAAGCUCUGUCAAGUGGGAAGAAUAGCUUUAAGACGAAUAAUCUUAAGGUAUGACGGUACCACUGGAGGAAGCACCGGCUAACUCCGUGCCAGCCGCCGC